AAACUACAGGGUAAUGUAAAAGUUGUGUCUUUUAAUGAUGCAAUAACCUAAGUACGGCUCCAUCCCCAUCCCUCUCCACCAUGUUUCCACCAGUGAAACAUGGUGGUGGCUGCAUCAUGCUGUGGGGAUGUUUUUCAGCGGCAGGGACUGGGAGACUAGUCUGGAUCGAGAAACAGAUGAAUGGAGCAAUGUACAUAGAGAUCCUUGAUGAAAACCUGCUCCAGAGCGCUCAGGACCUCAGACUGGAAUGAAUGUUCACCUUCCAACAGGACAACGACCCUAAUCACACGGCCAAGAUAACGCAAGAGUGGCUUCGGAAGUCUCCGAAUGUCCUUGAGUGGUCCAGCCUGAGCCUAGACUUGAACCCGAUCGAACAUCUCUGGAGAGAUGUUUUUGCUUUGUCAUUAUGGGGUAUUUUUUGGUAGAAAAAACAAUAAUACAUUUUAGAAUAAGGCUGUAACGUAAGUCAAGGAGUCUGAAUACUGUAUAUAUAAAUUAUAUACAUACUUUAUCAAAGGCCUUUCAAAAUCUGCUAUAAAGACCAGACCUGGUUUCUUCAUUGCUUCAUAGUGUUCUAUUUUUUCAAGUUAUGGUCUUUACUGUUUCAGUAAUAGUGAAAUCAGACCUUCUUGCUGUGUAUCUGAUAGUCUAUCAUUUGUAUAGGAGUAGUUCAAAUAUGCUAAUAGUGGAUUUUUGAGAAAAUCAAUAAAGCUCUGAUAUAACUCAAUUGAUAUGUCAUCAAUUCCUGGAGGUUUUCCGGACUGAAAGGAAUGAAUUAAUCUCUUCUCUUCCCUCCCUGACCAGAACCUCCCUCGCUUCCAGGAGCUGAUCUUUGAGGACUUCUCCCUGUUCAUUCUGGCGGAGAACGCUUUGAGGAGGUGGUGCUGCAGUCUGUCACCAAGGACAUCAUGAUGGAUGUUUAUUGUCCACCUAUACACUGAGAAGUGAGGCGACACCAUCGAUUUUUUUCCUUCACAACGAAACGGAAGAUUCUCAAUCAGAGGUGGUACAGAAUCUGAUUCCACCAUCAUGCGCUUCCAAUCCCUAGCUCUGAACAAGGUGAAGAUUACCUGGAGUCAUUGACAGUGCCCUGCUGAAAAAUUCCCCAAAUGCGGGGGGGAUUUUGGGUAUACAAGUAUGAGGGAGAUGACAUGGCUUGCGGUUAUUGAGCACAACCAGCAAGGGAUACUGAAAGGUAUAAAAUUAAGACUACAACAGUAAUGACAUAACUACAUUCUUCUCUGCAGAUUCUCAAAACACAAUACAAAGAUAAAUUCCCUAUGCAAAGGGCUACUAUUGACAAGAAGGAUCUGUUAAAGUCAAUGGGCUGUGGGAGGUUUACAGACAGUACAUUGAGAUGAGGAAAGGGGUUUUGGUUGUGCUUAGCCAGUAAAUAUAUAGUUGUGUAUGAGAGUGAUUGAGGAGAAAUGGCACCUCAAUUUCCAUACACAACAACUCAAACUGUGUAGGAACUGUCUUCAUAAGACCUUGCACACCUUAUUGAGCCCUCCAGCCCAUUCACUUUGUUGAUGGAUCAUUCCUCUCAAAAGCAGCUCCCAAUGUCCCCUCAUUGUUCCUAAACAAGACUCUACCCGGUCCCAUUCGGUUGAUACCUUUCCCAACAAAGGUGUGUGGCCCUACGUCCCUUCCACAAAAGUGUAAAAUGCUACCACUACAACCACGUGCAGUACCAACAAAUGAGACGUGCAGUACUAGCAAAUCUUCUGCAAGAGGGCCAAACAGUUGGUUGUUAAGAAGCCCUACACCACUUUCGGCAGAGUCUUAUCCAGCUGGCCAUUCCCCCGAACACAAUUUCCACUGUACCAAAGCCGAUAAAGGACUGGCUGUGUUUACACAGGUGUUCUGAUGUUUUUUUCCACUUUUUUCCCACUAAUUGGUAUUUGACCAAUCAGAUCAGUUUAGAAAAUAUCAAUUUAAAAUAUAGCAAUAGCAAAGUCUAGAAUCAAUACUAUUCAUCAACAGCUCUCCUGCAUUUACUAACGACACAAAUGAAUACACCUGCCUAACGAAACACAUCUGUGAAGCCAGUUCAACAAAUACUUGUAGUACCGUAAAAUGGGGGGGACCAUGUACAAAAGGUGCUAUCAUAUCUAAAUGGUUCAUCCAAUAUGUAUGAAAAUACCCUCAAAUUAAAGCUGACAGUCUGCACUUCACCCUCAUUAGCACUUUGAGUUUGAAAGAAUACAAUGACAGAGUACAGAGCCAAAAUAAAAAUAAAAUUUGUCAUUGUCCAAUGAAUUAUGGUGCUCACUAUAUAAGCUGCACAGGGCUCUGUAGUAUCAAGCAGGUGCUAGAUGUUCUGAUAUCCAAAUAAUGUUUGUUAAUUUGUCAAAUUCUAAAAUACAAGGGAGGGUGCACUAAAUGCUAACUCAAGAAAAGUGGGUAUUCAACAAGAAUGUUAUAUGGUAAAAGUAACCUACAAUAAAAAAGGUUUGAACAGUGUUGUUCAGGUCUAGAGACACACAAGUGCAGAGAACUGUAGCUGCAGAUUGUUACCUCAGAUAAUGUGAUUUACCCAAAGAUUUGAUCAAGACAGGGGGGUUUCCACCCCAAAGUGCUGUAUGUCAUGAUGACAUAGACCUAUCUCGAUUAACGAGUGAGAAGACCUGAAAUAGACACGAUGGCGGCGUACAUAUUGCUGCAUGACUUUAUUGCUGGAUGAGCAAAAAAGUACUUAUUUUAAAUAGCCCAGUUCCCUGACUUGAACCUCUGUCACUGUCACUUGCCAGCUACCACCCAGGAACUAUUUACCCUGCACCUUAGAGAAUGCUGUCCUAUUCGAACACUAGUCACUUUAAUAAUGUUUACAUAUUGUUUUAACCACUUUGUAUAUUCUGUAUUCUAGUCAAAGUUGAUCCUAUAUAACUACUCCUGUACACACCUUUUCUAUUCACAUAUCGGAGCAAAUGGAAUGGCACCAAACACAUAGAAACCAUUCCACUCCAGCCAUUACUUUGAGCCCGUCCUCCCCAACUAAGGUUCCACCAACAACCUAUGCUAUCUAUACACACCAUUCACAAACGAACACCUGCUCUUUCCACAAUAUACUGACCAGGUAAAUCCAGGUGAAAUCUAUGAUCCCUAUGUCACUUGUUAAAUCUACUUCAAUCAGUGUAGAUGAAGGGGAGAAGACUGGUUAAAGAAUGAUUUUUAAGCCAUGAGACGAGACAUGGAUGGUGUAUGUGUAUCAUUCAGAGCGUGAAUGGACAAGACAAAAGAUUGAAGUGCCUUUGAACAUGUUAUAGUAGUAGGUGCCAGGCGCACCUGUUUGAGUGUGUCAAGAACUGCAACACUGCUGGGUUUUUCACGCUCAACAGUUUCCCAUGUGUAUCAAGCCAACUUGACACAGCUGUGGGAAGCAUUGGAUUCAACAUAGGGCCAGCAUCCCUGUGGAACAUUUCGACAUGUUGUAGAGUCCAUGCCUUGACGAAUUGAGACUGUUCUGAAGACUAAAGGUGGUGCAACUCAAUAUUUGUGUUCCUACUGUUUUGUACUCUCAGUGUAAUAUUAUAUUUCCUGCAAUUCUAUCCAUUUCACUAUGGGGUUUUGUACAGUGUAUUUCUAUACUGUAUUAUUGAGAUGGCACAUUCUAAUAUUUCUACUACUGUACAUUGCAUUUUAAUUACACACUGCAUAUUUAUUUAUAUAUUGGAUUCUUGAUGGCUCAUUCUAUAUAUCUACUGCUGUACAUAUCAUUCCUUGUAUAUCUUCUGUAAAUUCAUCUGCUGUAGAUACAAAUAGUUUGGAUUACUGUAACCGUGGUAUUUGGGCUGUUAUUGAUUUCUUGUUCAUUGUUUUUAUUUUUGUAUGUUUGACAUUUUACUCUACUGUUAGGAGCUAGUAACAUGCACCUGCUAUAACAUCUGCUAAAACGUGUACAUAACCAAUACAGUUUGAUUUUACAUUUGAUAUGCUGUUAUCUGAAUGUGGAAACACAAAUUGCAAUGUAUCUAAAAUGGGUUUAGUAUUUGCUUUCUUCAUCUCGAGAAACAUUGCCAUUACCUUAUUCAAAACAGCAUGAUAUAAUCUUACUGUAUGUAAGAUGAUACUGUGUUUACACCCGUUCCUUUAAUUGUGGAGGCCCUAAUCAAAUGACAAUUACUACUUGGAUGAGACCAAUCUUAUCUCCCCCUCUAAAUUAAUAUGUAAAAACACUUGAAUCCACUGAGAUUCUUCCACUACUUCAAAAAGUUUCCUUUUCACCUCCUCCGUAAAUGCAAUGCAUUAAUUCAUUCUGCAUAUUAACAGAGGUGUUACUCCUCAGUGAGCUGAUCAUUAGCAAGCUAAAUUCGGACAAUACAGAUCACUGCUGAGGGAACAAGGGGCUUUAGUGCUCUAGCGCCGCACUCCAGUAUACUACACUAACACUCCGCCUCAAAGACACAAUGGUGAAAUGAAGAGUAUAUACAAUUAGCAUGCAUGCAAUUAUUCCUGGGCCAGUGAUGUUUCAGUUUCCUAAUGCAUUUCAUUACAUCUGUCUCUCAGACCUACUGUGUUGCUAAUGAGUGUACAGGGAGUUAAAUAAAAAAUGUAGCGACCCAAUUUAACGUAUAUGCUGGGAGUCAGAAAGCAAGUGGUGAGUUUAAUAAUAAACGGCACAUCAAACACGAGUAGCGUAUAGACAUGAAGCAUAAACAAUACUGACUGGGGAAAGAACCUAAUGGUGUGCCAGAUACAGGGGAGGUAAUAAGUGAGGUAAUGGAGUCCAGGUUUGUCUGAUGAUGACGUACAGGUGCGCGUAAUGAUUGAUGCCAGGUGUGCGUAAUGAUGGAUCCCAGGACCAAUGGUGCGUAUACAUACCUGUGACGUCGAGCGCCAGGGGGGAGAGCGAGAGUAGACGUGACACCCAAGAUUAGAGUUUCUCUUGAAUUGCUGUUGAAUCUUGAAAGCUUGAAAAGGGAAUUCCACCCUCUGGGAAUCUGGGCUUGUUUUCAUCAUACACACACACACACAACAUGUAACUUUUUUAAAGUUUAUGUAAAAUGUUAAUUAUUUUGUUUGCAAUGUAUUUUUCAUUAUAUGUCGGUCCCCAGUAAGACUAGUUUUCCAUUGGUGUCAGCUAAUGGGGGUCCUAAUAAUUCAAAAUCAUGUCUUAUGCGUGUCUAGGACAGUGAGAUGUGUUUCACACAUUUCCCAGGAGGAAGGCAGGUCAGGGGAGAUCUAAAAAUGAAUGUAGUCCUGCUUUGUGGCAUUUCGCGAAGGCUCAAUGUUAUACUGAUUGCACUAUAUGUUUUUGUGGGACUACAUAUAUCUGUUCUUGUUCAAUAGACGUCGUUGGAUGUCUUUCAGCGAUAUUCCUAUUGUCGGAUUAGUUUUGCUCAGUUCCAGCCGUUAUUAUGAGUUGUCCUCCACUGAAGCAGACACAUUUUGUCCACUGUCUGAAAGACUACAACUUGUGUUGGACAGUGCUUCAUGCUCUGGCUCCCACCCCUCCCCAAGACAGGCUUUUUUUUAAAGGAGGCGGACACUAACAACAAUCUGUUGGGCAAAACUUUAAGAACUGACCAGACAAAAUGGCUUCAAGUGAGUCCUCUCAUCAACACAAACUCGAAGUUGGUGCAUCUAUUACCUACAUGGUGACAUUCAACCAUACAUGUUUCAACUGGAAUAUAGCAGAGGAUUUGAAAAAAAAGAGUUUGAUUUAGCUAACGUUAGAAGCUCAGCUACAGCCGAUGCCAGCACCAUGAGGGCAGAUGACAAAUACUGUGCCUAACUAACUUAAGUCAUUUUUCCUGCAAGCCACCUAGCUAACCUUAGUUUAUUUACUGAAACUGAAACCCAUAUUGUGUAUUUCUGACUAACAUACUGCUGUAUUGCAGUGUGGAGAAAUCAAAUAAUUGUUAUAUUUGCUAUCUUAGCUAGCUAGCUAGCUAAACAACUACUGGUAGCCAUAUAUAUGACUAAAACCUAGAAGAGAUGGAUGCAUUUCAAUCUCACAAAAUUAUAGGCAUGAUGCAAGAUAGGAUUCCAAACAGAUUGUCAUAAGAAGUAUUGUCAUAUCCAGUAAGCUAGCUAGCUAUGUUUACUAGCAAAUAUUGAGGAGAAACAAUAAUAAAAUAAUUUACUGUUGUAAAUCUCUCAAACUGACACUGGUUUAACUAUAAAACAUAUUUGCACAAGCAUGCCUGAUAGUAUCUAGCUACAGCCAUGUCUAUCUGCCCAACUACCUAGGCUCAAUAGUACGGUCUGGUCACUGUGAAAAGGUUGAGGGUUAUGCCAUAUUUUUUUUAUUAGGCUAGAUACUGUUGUAAAUAUAAUCUCUGUGCCUGUGCACAUGUUAAACUAGUGUACACUAGUGUUUAUGUUAUUUAAUUUGGCACAAAUCUUACAGAUAAUACUGCGUGGUGCCUGGGCUUCUUCCUGGCUUGGAUUCUACAGUAGAUACAGAAACAGAAUUCCUUUGCCUGUGUGUCAUUGUAGCAGACCUAUAUUCAUGAUUUCAAGCAGAUGACUCAUGAGGAGCUGAAUGGCAGUUUGAUCAUGAUAAUACUCCUGCCAGAACUUUACAAGUAUUCCCAGAACUUACUGUAUGUUUCUUUGGAAUGGCAAUUUCAUCACGACCACCUCAUUCAUCAUCUGCUGAUAACCAGU